rnacentral:rRNA from 1 species
AUUGAACGCUGGCGGAAUGCUUUACACAUGCAAGUCGAACGGCAGCACGGGGGCAACCCUGGUGGCGAGUGGCGAACGGGUGAGUAAUACAUCGGAACGUGCCCAGUCGUGGGGGAUAACGUAGCGAGAGUUACGCUAAUACCGCAUACGAUCUACGGAUGAAAGCGGGGGACCGUAAGGCAUCGCGCGAUUGGAGCGGCCGGUGUCAGCUGAGGUCGUUGGGGAGGUAAAGGCUCACAAAGCCGACGAUCUGUAGCUGGUCUGAGAGGACGACCAGCGACACUGGGACGGAGAAACGGCCAAGACUCCUACGGGAGGCAGCAGUGGGGAAUUUUGGACAAUGGGCGCAAGCCUGAUCCAGCCAUUCCGCGUGCAGGACGAAGGCCUUCGGGUUGUAAACUGCUUUUGUACGGAACGAAAAGGCUCUGGUUAAUACCUGGGGCUCAUGACGGUACCGUAAGAAUAAGCACCGGCUAACUACGUGCCAGCCGCCGCCGUAA